rnacentral:rRNA from 1 species
AUGAGCUUUCCAAAAAGACAAAGAGGUAUGGUGUUCAAGGAUUUGGAGAGUUUUAAUUUGGCUAUGCUAACUAAACAAUGUUGGAGACUACUUUGUGAGCCAAACUCCCUAUGUUCCCAAGUGCUUCAUGCAAAAUAUUACCCAUCAGGGGACCUUCUGAAUUGUGAAUUGAAGAAGGGAAGUUCCUAUAGUUGGCAAAGCUUGUGGGCAUGUAUACAAACUUUUAAAAGAGGACAUAUUUGGCGAGUUGGAGAUGGAAACAAUAUUGAUAUAUGGGAUUAUUGCUGGAUUCCGAGCAGUCCGAAUAGGAAGAUUUUGACUAGGAGAGGGAAUAUUGUAUUCACAAAAGUUGGUGAACCAAUUGAUCACGAAGCUCGAAUUUGGGAAGAAACACUAACCAGAGAGCUGUUUUGGGCGGUAGAUGCAGAAAGAAUUCUCAAAAUACCCCUGGCUAUAGGGAUGAAGGAAGAUUUUGUGUCAUGGCAUCAUAAUAAGAAUGGAUUGUUCAUAGUUAAAUCAGCUUAUUUAUUUUGA